UCCCUAGUGGUCCAGUGGUUAAGACUCCAAACUCUCAAUGCAAAGGGCCCAGGUUCGAUCCCUGGUCAGGGAA
rnacentral:tRNA from 1 species